CUCAUUUUUGGUGUCGCUUCUCUUCUUUCCACAAUAAAUUAAUCAACACGUCUCUGUGUCCUAUAGGUACAGUGCAUAGUCGCAUUUGUCACCCAUUCAUAUGAUUAUUCAGAUUGAGUUAUUUUGGGAGAAAAACGAGAAAAAAGGUGUCAGACCACAAUUAAAAAAUCCCUAUCUGUUCAACCAAAUUUUGCAAUUUUCACAGCUUUCUAAAUAUUUUACCUUAAGUUUAACUUCAUAGAAACCAGGUAUAUCCUUAAUUGUACAUGUAUCAGCUUUCUACAUGCCAAUUUUCACCAUACCUUUAAAGCCUUUCUAACAAAAUAACUGACCAUCAGAGGUACUCCAAAACAAAAACCUGGUUUUCUGGAAAUCUAAAAUUAGUAUACUAGGGAGCGC
rnacentral:lncRNA from 1 species